GAACAGAUAGGCUUAGGCAGCGUUGUGAAGGCAAGUGCCGGAUUAGAUGCGGUCCAGAUUCCACAGCAGAGGGGAAUUUGGGUUAGCACCUGGAUGUUCAAAAUCUACAUACAUGUAUCUUCCUAUGUUCUAUAGUAUGUUGAAUAAAGCAUAGUUCAAUGGGUUAUGGAUAUAUGCAUCCGUAUCUGUACUCGUAUAAGAUCUGUAUAAUACUUGGAAUAAAUUUACUGCUCUAUUAUUUGGUGAAAAUAAAGCUGAGAAAUUAUACAACA